UGUGACAUUUAUAUUCUUGUACUAUCGUGUACUAGAAGUCAGUUCCCGUUUUAUCAUUAUUGGAAUCGAUUGGAAUGGCUCUUAGCUGAAGCUUCUCUCUUCUCUGAAGCUUAUUCUGAAGACUGAACAACAAGGGAAGCGGUAUAAAGCUUUGUCAAGCUUGUUAAGGUCAGAUAUUUUGUGUGGGCCCUAUGGCUAUGCUAUCAAGUCUUGUUCAUGUUUGGCAAGAUCUACUGGUAGGUAGACUAUAGUUUCAUCAUUAAUAUGGUGGAUCAAGUGAAGAGUGUGAGCUAGAGAACUUGGUGCUGCCAUCAUCAGCUCGUCGACAAUGACACUAACCUGUUUAAUACGAGAAAUUUAAUAUGUAUAGAUCUACACGUACACGUAUUUAGAAUGUCUACUUCUCUGUACAGGAGCAAUGGCUAAUAUCCAGCUAUCCCAACAGUGCUCCUCUUGGCUAUAUUAACGGACGAGACUGGACAGUUUGAGGACUGGAGUAUGACCUGCUCAUUCGAGCGUUGCUGGGUAGCUCAGAGACAUCAAGAGAAUCUACGUUUUCUCAAGCAAAAUGUAACUGAGUUACGAGUUGGGGCCUAGAAUCAGAGAAGUCUGCUAAAUCUUUUUGAAACGUAAUUUGAAGGCAUUCAUCAUCCUGAAGUUUCCCUGGGUCACUGUAAUUGUGCUGCAGCACAACUGGCAACUGCCAGGCCUUUGUGAAGCAGCUCCCUAUGUGCAUCUUUUGUGUACUCCCUAUGUGUGCAUCUUUUGUGUACUCACUCUGUGCAUUUUCUGUAUACAAAUUCGAUUAUUGAUUUAUUAAAUAUUUUUGCCGACCACAAAUAUACAAUGAAAAUUUGACGCAUGCACAGACAACUAGUACCAGGCCUAGCCUCGAUCCCAGGCCGAGUUUUCGCUUUUAUAACGGUUAGGCGAACAACUGGGCCUGGUACUAGUUGUCUGCGCAUGCGUCAGUCGUUCGUCAGAUUCUGACAAAUGGAUAUUCUCGUUCACUUUCGUGACAUUUAUAUUCGUGUACUAUCGUGUACUAGAAGUCAGUUCCCGUUUUAUCAUUAUUGGAAUCGAUUGGAAUGGCUCUUAGCUGAAGCUUCUCUCUUCUCUGAAGCUUAUUCUGAAGACUGAACAACAAGUGAAGAGGUAUAAAGCUUUGUCAAGCUUGUUAAGGUCAGAUAUUUUUGUGUGGGCCCUAUGGCCGGCUAUGCUAUCAAGUCUUGUUCAUGUUUGGCAAGAAUGUAGGUAGACUAUAGUUUCAUCAUUAAUAUGGUGGAUCAAGUGAAGAGUGUGAGCUAGAGAACUUGGUGCUGCCAUCAUCAGCUCGUCGACAAUGACACUAUAACCGAGAAAUUUAAUAUGUAUAGAUCUACACGUAUUUAAAAUGUCUACUUCUCUGUACAGGAGCAAUGGCUAAUAUCCAGCUAUCCCAACAGUGCUCCUCUUGGCUAUACUAACGGACGAGACUGGACAGUUUAAGACACAGGACUGGAGUAUGACCUGCUCAUUCGAGCGUUGCUGGGUAGCUCAGAGACAUCAAGAGAAUCUACGUUUUCUCAAGCAAUGAGUUACGAGUUGGGGCCUAGAAUCAGAGAAGUCCAGCAGCCUGCUAAAUCUUUUUGAAACGUAAUUUGAAGGCAUUCAAUCAUCCUGAAGUUGCCCUGGGUCACUGUAAUUGUGCUGCAGCACAACUGGCAACUCCCCAGGCCUUUGUGAAGCAGCUCCCUAUGUGCAUCUUUUGUGUACUCACUCUGUGCAUUUUCUGUGUACAAAUUUCUAUUAUUGAUUUAUUAAAUA